AGUCGUCUCCUACCUCACGCUUCAGGAUAUCUACCAGAGUGUGGAGAAGGGAUUCACCAAGAGAUUCAACCAUGUAGUUCUAUAUGCAGCCGAUCAAAAGGUAUGAAAGGCCUCCCCUAGUGUUUCUUGUCCUAGUAGAUUCCAUGGCCUCGAUCUGAAGUUUGGGCCGAUUUCUUGUGAGAUUUACGGUGCUUGAGGUCGUUAACGACAGUGACAUCCCUACGGAGCCCCUUCCAUUAUCCUGUUGCGGCUCCGCCUGCUGGUAUCGAGCAGAAUCAACCCCCGUUGAAAGCUACGACGGUCAAAUUUGUGUGGUCGGAGCUCAGAGGGAAGAUUCCCCACAAGCCUCGUCACAAUCCGUUGGAAAGAUGGAUCCAAGAGCUCCAGUAUGGGCACGCAGGUACGUUAGGAAUCAAGAUAUUCAAUCCAAAAAAUUAGUAGUUCAAGUCGGCUUCAGCGAUUGCGGUCAUAUAUGUGAUUGAUUGCAAAUAAGCAGAGUACAGUCAAGGAAGAAUAGCCGCCGAUUGUGACCAUUGAGAGAUUUAGUUAUGUGCAAACUGAAAAUUGGAAGGUUUUAUUAGUAACUUAGGUAAUGAUUGUCAAAAGCAUGAUUUGUCUGUUAAAUCAAGAUUUGCACUAUUGGUCAGGAAGUCUGGAGAGAAGAAUGUGUUUGUUUCGGUUCCAACUGCAAUCUGUUCAGGCAAUUCUGAGCAAAAGCUGAACUGUGGUAGUUCACCAAAAGUAGCUGACUGAAAAGAUCUAAGGGUUUUCUGUACAUAUUUUCUGGAAUGGAGGUAUGUGGCAUUUAUACGACUGUUUUCGUAUGGUGAUGCAUGCACUGCUUGCGUAAAAUCGCUGUAAUGAUCUGAUCAGAAAACUUUUUUAUGUAUGUAUGCUUUUAUGUGUAUGUUAAGUUGACUGGUGGCAUAAUUAUCCUUUGUGGACGACUUUACAUUGCAGUGUAAAGGAUUUGUAGCAUUCGAAAAACUGAUGAAGAGUGGAAAGUUGCUGUCUGUUACAUAUUUGUAAUGAGCUCAAAUUCAUAUGCUGUUGUCUGAAAGAUUAGAAGUUCAGUUGGAAAUUGGUGUACCUGAGACAGAUUGCUUGCUGAACUGCACAAAAGUUAUAGAUUUUACCAAAGAAUGUGUGCUUCGGUACAGGUGUCCGCAGUAGUCUAUUUAUGUGUGGAUAGGUAUUGCAUAAUUUUGGACUUUGAACUCCAUGGGCGGGAGCCUUAGACAGCAUAUACAUACACAUUCAGCUGCCGAGGAGAAAAUGUAAGGUAGAGAAAUCGCCGGAUGGCUCCAUCUCAC
rnacentral:lncRNA from 1 species